AUCUCCUUGUGACGGAUGCAUAUAUGUAGUUAUUCAUUAGACUUUUCUUGAUUAGCCAUUAGCUUAUGUAGUAUGGCCCAGAUCUUAUCCAAUUAUUCAAGGAAAGUGUCACAUCAAUUUUUUUUUUUAGAAAAAUAGCUUUAAUUUCUUCUUAUUUUGACAUAAAUGAGUGACUAUAGACUGAGCUCGGAGACCAUCAUGUCAUUAUGUUAUCCAUUAAUACAAAAUUAUUACAGAAUGGCAAUCAAAAUCAACCAAUUUGAACAGAGAGAUGUGCCUCCCAAAUCACAAACCAUCACCCUCCUUCACAGUUUAAAACAGACUUGUCAUUCCCAAAUCACCAAUCAUCACCAUGUUAUUAAAGGCUGUUUGACAGAUAUAUAUAUGGCAGUGGCUAUUUGACCGGCACUGGCAAAAUAGCAAAAUUGCUAUUUGACCGGUACCGGCAAAUUUGCUAUUUAGCCGGCACUGAUUAAAUUGUAUCUCAAUAAUCUCACUGGCA
rnacentral:lncRNA from 1 species